GACGAACGCUGGCGGCGUGCUUAACACAUGCAAGUCGAACGAUGAACCCGGAGCUUGCUCCGGUGGAUUAGUGGCGAACGGGUGAGUAACACGUGAGCAAUCUGCCCUUGACUCUGGGAUAACUGCGGGAAACUGUAGCUAAUACCGGAUACUUUCACCGGGGGGCAUCCUCUGGUGAUGAAAGAAUUUCGGUCGAGGAUGAGCUCGCGGCCUAUCAGCUUGUUGGUGAGGUAACGGCUCACCAAGGCGACGACGGGUAACCGGCCUGAGAGGGUGACCGGUCACACGGGGACUGGGACACGGCCCAGACUCCGACGGGAGGCAGCAGUGGGGAAUAUUGCACAAUGGGCGCAAGCCUGAUGCAGCAACGCCGCGUGAGGGAUGAAGGCCUUCGGGUUGUAAACCUCUUUUAGUAGGGAAGAAGCGAAAGUGACGGUACCUGCGGAAAAAGCACCGGCUAACUACGUGCCAGCAGCAGCCGCGG
rnacentral:rRNA from 1 species